rnacentral:rRNA from 1 species
GAUGAACGCUGGCGGCGUGCCUAAUACAUGCAAGUCGAGCGAACAGACGAGGAGCUUGCUCCUUUGACGUUAGCGGCGGACGGGUGAGUAACACGUAGGUAACCUACCUAUAAGACUGGGAUAACUUCGGGAAACCGGAGCUAAUACCGGAUAAUAUUUCGAACCGCAUGGUUCGAUAGUGAAAGAUGGCUUUGCUGUCACUUAUAGAUGGACCUGCGCCGUAUUAGCUAGUUGGUAAGGUAACGGCUUACCAAGGCAACGAUACGUAGCCGACCUGAGAGGGUGAUAGGCGACACUGGAGGUGAGACACGGUCCAGACGACUACGGGAGGCAGCAGUAGGGAAUCUUACGCAAUGGGCGAAAGCCUGACGGAGCAACGCCGCGUGAGUGAUGAAGGUCUUCGGAUCGUAAAACUCUGUUAUUAGGGAAGAACAAACGUGUAAGUAACUGUGCACGUAUUGACGGUACCUAAUCAGAAAGCCACGGCUAACUACGUG